ensembl:lncRNA
UUUAGUUCGAUGAGAGUUGAACCCAUGAUCUUAUAGCGUAGCGAUGCACUAGUGUUUGAGCAUCAGGAAAGCACACAGAAGUGCUUUCCCACAUUUCUUCAAAACAAAUGUUUAAAAAAUAGUUACAAUACUUUAUAAUAAAUUCACAGGUAAUGAGCAAAAAAAGUUUAUAAAAUAGUUAAUUAAAAAAAAAAAAUAUGAUCAUGUGUUUAUUUUAUAAUGUGUGCAUUAUAAAAGCACUGAAACUGUGUGUUAGCCUAUAUGAUUUUGGCAGUAAGCGUUUUUGUUAACCUUGGCACGCACAAGCUUGAGUUACAUAGGCCUAUAAUACAAGGGUUUUAAAACUCCACUUUCCUUUAGGCGACCAGAGAGGAAGGGGAAAAGCUGACAGUCUUCCUCUGAAGUUUUGAGUUCACCCAAAUACACAGAGACACACCUACUUAGUUUACACUCAUAAUACGGACCACCAGCGAUUCUUUACUUCUUUACUCACUCCGUGUGAUUAUUAACUUUUGCUGAAACCUUGCCUGCCAAGUUUUUCCCCAAGGUUAUUUAUUUUUAAAAACAAAAUCACAUAGCACGCGCUCCCUCUGACAGGCAGAGCUGGACCUGUUGCCUGUUCGCAAGACCACGCGUGUUUCGCCUUCACUAUUAAAGCCAGGACUCAUUGCAGUCUUGUAAUGAUGUAACAUACGCUCUUAAAAUCAGUUCCGCCACCUGUGCGCUUUUAUUUGUUGACAGUGCGAUGAGCGCGUGAUCGAGAGCGCGCAGCCAUUCGCUUCUCCGCUCGGACCUCUGACGCGAUGUCAGCCGCCGCUCGUAGAAACUCGUCCAAAACCGGGAACGGCGUGAAGUCCGACCCGGAUAGAAUUCGGACGGUACGCAGAGAGCUGUCGACUGAGUACACACACAGUGAAUGGGAUAAUAUUAUGGAGUCUUCAUCUAGAGAUUGUAAGACCUCAAGAGGAAGCAUCAAAGGUACUCCAGGAGCUCCUGAUGAUAAUGUACCAACAGGUGAAUCCAGCUCAAUACUAUUCUGUGACAAUACCAACUUCCUCUUAAUUCACUGAUGUGAAUAAAUCCUGAUGAUUGUGUAAAUCUCCUCCA